rnacentral:rRNA from 1 species
CCAUGCGAGUCGAACGUCCCCCUGUUGCGGGGGGCGUGGCGUACGGCUCAGUAACACGUAGUCAACCUGCCCUGGAGACAAGGACAACCCCGGGAAACUGGGAUUAAUCCUUGAUAGGUCAUCUCAUCUGGAAGGAGAGAUGGCUUAAAGGGGUACGCGGGCUUCUUCCGCGAAUUCGCUCCAGGAUGGGACUGCGUCCGAUCAGGCUGUUGGCGGGGUAAUGGCCCACCAAACCUGUAACCGGUACGGGCCUUGAAAGAGGUGGCCCGGAGAUGGACACUGAGAGAAGGGUCCAGGUCCUACGGGGCGCAGCAGGCGCGAAACCUUCGCAACGCGCGAAAGCGUGACGAGGUUAAUCCGAGUGACUUCCGCUGAGGAGGUCUUUUGUCAGCUGUAAAUAGGCAGGCGAAUAAGGGGAGGGCAAGCCUGGUGUCAGCCGCCGCGGUAAUACCAGCUCCUCGAGUGGUCGGGGCGAUUAUUGGGCCUAAAGCAUCCGUAGCCGGUUCCGUAGGUCCUCUGUUAAAUCCAACCGCUUAACGGUUGACCUGCAGAGGAUACCGCGGGACUAGGAGGCGGGAGAGGCGGACGGUACUCCGCGUGUAGGGGUAAAAUCCUUUGAUCCGCGGAAGACCACCAGUGGCGAAGGCGGUCCGCCAGAACGCGCUCGACGGUGAGGGAUGAAAGCUGGGGGAGCGAACCGGAUUAGAUACCCGGGUAGUCCCAGCCGUAAACGAUGCUAGCUA